AAUUCACUCAUUUGCUUGAAGGUUAAAGACUACAUGAGACUUUGACAGAUGGCGGGAAACCCUCAUCCACUGGUAGAGGAAUGUCUGCAACUAAGCCGAGGGCCACUGGAUAAGGGUUGUUGAUGGUAAAACAGGUAGAGGAAUGUCUGCAACUAAGCCGAGGGCCACUGGAUAAGGGUUGUUGAUGGUAAAACAGGUAGAGGAAUGUCUGCAACUAAGCCGAGGGCCACUGGAUAAGGGUUGUUGAUGGUAAAACAGGUAGAGGAAUGUCUGCAACUAAGCCGAGGGCCACUGGAUAAGGGUUGUUGAUGGUAAAACAGGUUAAAGACUACAUGAGACUUUGACAGAUGGCGGGAAACCCUCAUCCACUGGUAGAGGAAUGUCUGCAACUAAGCCGAGGGCCACUGGAUAAGGGUUGUUGAUGGUAAAACAGGUUAAAGACUACAUGAGACUUUGACAGAUGGCGGGAAACCCUCAUCCACUGGUAGAGGAAUGUCUGCAACUAAGCCGAGGGCCACUGGAUAAGGGUUGUUGAUGGUAAAACAGGUUAAAGACUACAUGAGACUUUGACAGAUGGCGGGAAACCCUCAUCCACUGGUACGAACCCGGUAAAUUGAUGGCUGUAAAACAGUGACCGCUGAUUCGCAUCGAGUUCUUUCUUGCAAAACGCAUGACCCCCCUUUUUUAUUGUCUAAAUCAUUGCGACUUGGAAUGCUCUUUAAGAAAAGGUAUGGUUAUGGGGGUCUCUAUGCGCAAAAGUUUGACUUUAUUUUUUGUUGAAGUUAUUGCUUUUACAUUGAAUUUGUGUAGGAAAUCUUUUGGUAUAUUGUAA